GAAUGUGAGGGCGUUCUGGCUGCAACAUCUGUCACCCCAUUGAUCACCAGGGUUGAUUCGGCUGAUCUGGCUGGCUAGGCAGGUGUCCCCUUCCUCCCUCACCGUUCCAUGUGCAUCCCUCCCGAAGCUGUGUGCUUGGUUGAACAGAAUGGCCUUCGCAGAAUAGAGACAGACCGGUCUUCGGUUGAGGGUAUACAAGUAGCUGUGCUCCCCUGCUAGAACCUCCAAACAAGCUCUCAAGAAAACAUUAUUUUUAUUCUACAAACACUUAUUAAAUGCUUGUUAUAUACUUCAUGAUAAAGUAAUGAUGAUGAAUAAAAAGAUACUGCUCUUGUUU
ensembl:misc_RNA 7SK 7SK RNA